ACUAAGCGCAUACGGUGGAUGCCUUGGCAGUCAGAGGCGAUGAAAGACGUGGAAGCCUGCGAUAAGGCUCGGGGAGCUGGCAAACAAGCUGUGAUCCGGGCAUUUCUGAAUGGGGAAACCCACCGACUUUCGGGUCGGUACCUUACACUGAAUCCAUAGGUGUAAGGGGCGAACCGGGGGAACUGAAACAUCUAAGUACCCCGAGGAAAAGAAAUCAACCGAGAU
rnacentral:rRNA from 1 species